CCUACGGGAGGCAGCAGUGAGGAAUAUUGGUCAAUGGGCGCGAGCCUGAACCAGCCAAGUCGCGUGAGGGAAGACGGUCCUAUGGAUUGUAAACCUCUUUUAUCGGGGAGCAAAAGACGCCACGCGUGGCGUUCCGCGAGUACCCGAAGAAAAAGCAUCGGCUAACUCCGUGCCAGCAGCCGCGGUAAUACGGAGGAUGCGAGCGUUAUCCGGAUUUAUUGGGUUUAAAGGGUGCGUAGGCGGCAUGCCAAGUCAGCGGUAAAAUCGCGGGGCUCAACCUCGCUCCGCCGUUGAUACUGGCGUUCUUGAGUGGGCGGGAAGUAUGCGGAAUGCGUGGUGUAGCGGUGAAAUGCAUAGAUAUCACGCAGAACUCCGAUUGCGAAGGCAGCAUACCGGCGCCCAACUGACGCUGAAGCACGAAAGCGUGGGUAUCGAACAGGAUUAGAUACCCCUGUAGGC
rnacentral:rRNA from 1 species